GGAGCUGUGGCUCAGUGGUACAGCUUCUGCUUCGUUUGCAGAAAGUCCCAGGUUCAAUCCCUGGCAUCUCCA